rfam:Aptenodytes forsteri contig50609, whole genome shotgun sequence.
UGCACAUGAUGCUGUUCUCUCACGAUGGUCUUCCAAGUCUCAUGGUGAAGGGGCUUUGACGACAGUGCCGUAUGGCUUUGCUGAUGCCCAGCG